UCGGGAAUAUUGCGCAAUGGAGGAAACUCUGACGCAGUGACGCCGCGUAUAGGAAGAAGUUUUUCGGAAUGUAAACUAUUGUCAUUAGGGAAGAGAAAGGACGGUACCUAAGGAGGAAGCCCCGGCUAACUAUGUGCCAGCAGCCGCGGUAAUACAUAGGGGGCAAGCGUUAUCCGGAAUUAUUGGGUGUAAAGGGUGCGUAGACGGGGAAUUAAGUUGGUUGUGAAAUGCCUAGGCUUAACUUAGGAACUGCAACCAAAACUGAUUUUCUUGAGUACUGGAGAGGAAAGUGGAAUUCCUAGUGUAGCGGUGAAAUGCGUAGAUAUUAGGAGGAACACCAGUGGCGAAGGCGACUUUCUGGACAGAAACUGACGUUGAGGCACGAAAGUGUGGGGAGCAAACAGG
rnacentral:rRNA from 1 species